rnacentral:rRNA from 1 species
AUUGAACGCUGGCGGCAGGCCUAACACAUGCAAGUCGAGCGAGCGGCGGACGGGUGCGUAAUGUAUGGGGACUGCCCGAUAGCUGGGGAUAACUACUGGAAACGGUGGCUAAUACCGCAUACUAUCGGAUAACCCAUAUGGGUUUAGCUAGUAGGUGGGGUAAAGGCUCACCUAGGCGACGAUCCCUAGCUGGUCUGACAGGAGGAUGAGCAACACGGGGAUUGAGACACGGCCAGGACUCCUAGGGGGGCAGAAGUGGGGAAUAUUGCACAAUGGGCGCAAGCCUGAUGCAGCAAUGCCGCGGGGAGGAAGAAGGCCUUAGGGUUGUAAAGUACGUUCAGCAGGAAGGCGGUACCCGCAGAGGAAGCACCGGCUAACUCCGUGCCAGCAGCCGCGGUAAUUC